rnacentral:pre_miRNA from 1 species
CUUCUCAUGUUUGUACCCUGUGUGGUCCCCCACCACCCUGAGUAUAGGCAAUGUAAUUCACAGGGCACAUACAUGAGAGGAC